AUUGAACGCUGGCGGCAUGCCUUACACAUGCAAGUCGAACGGUAACAGGUCUUUCGGGAUGCUGACGAGUGGCGAACGGGUGAGUAAUACAUCGGAACGUGCCUAGUAGUGGGGGAUAACUACUCGAAAGAGUGGCUAAUACCGCAUGAGAUCUAUGGAUGAAAGCAGGGGACCUUUGGGACUUGUGCUACUAGAGCGGCCGAUGGCAGAUUAGGUAGUUGGUGGGAUAAAAGCUUACCAAGCCUACGAUCUGUAGCUGGUCUGAGAGGACGAUCAGCCACACUGGGACUGAGACACGGCCCAGACUCCUACGGGAGGCAGCAGUGGGGAAUUUUGGACAAUGGGCGCAAGCCUGAUCCAGCAAUGCCGCGUGCAGGAUGAAGGCCUUCGGGUUGUAAACUGCUUUUGUACGGAACGAAAAGUCUUGGGUUAAUACCCUGGGAUCAUGACGGUACCGUAAGAAUAAGCACCGGCUAACUACGUG
rnacentral:rRNA from 1 species